AUUGAACGCUGGCGGCAGGCCUAACACAUGCAAGUCGAACGAGUGGCGGACGUGAGAGUAAUGUGUGGAAAUCUGUCUUGUAGAGGGGGAUAAAUACUGGAAACGGGAUCUAAUAACGUACACCAGCGUAUGUGCCCAGAUGGGAUUAGAUAGUAGGUGGGGUAAAGGCUCCCAUAGGCGACGAUCCCUAGCUGGUCUGAGAGGAUGCACAGCCACACUGGAACUGAGACACGGUCCAGACUCCUACGGGAGGCAGCAGUGGGGAAUAUUGCACAAUGGGCGCAAGCCGGAUGCAGCCAUGCCGCGUGUAUGAAGAAGGCCUGCGGGUUGUAAAGCACUUUCAGCGGGGAGGCGUUACCCGCAGAAGAAGCACCGGCUAACUCCGUGCCAGCAGCCGCGGUAAUUC
rnacentral:rRNA from 1 species